UACGUAGGGGGCAAGCGUUGUCCGGAUUUAUUGGGCGUAAAGAGCGUGUAGGCGGCUUUACAGGUCCGUUGUGAAAACUCGAGGCUCAACCUCGAGACGCCGGUGGAAACCGUAAGGCUAGAGUCCGGAAGAGGAGAGUGGAAUUCCUGGUGUAGCGGUGAAGUGCGCAGAUAUCAGGAGGAACAUCUGCGGCGAAGGCGGCUUCCUGGCCCAUUACUGACGUUCAGGUACGAAAGCGUGGGUAGCAAACAGG
rnacentral:rRNA from 1 species